AUAAAAUGGAGUUUAACGUAAUUAAAUAGACCAAUGUUUUUUAACAUAGGAAAAUAGUUCAUUGUAAACAACAGUUAAAUGUUUGUUGUUAUUAAUUGCAAUCAGAUUUGAUUUUAUGAGGUCAAAUUAAGCAUUUCAGUUCUGGGCCAAGGCCAAGGCAUUUAAAUUUUUUUUUUAAAGUUGCAUGGAAGAUUAUAAGUAGCAGUGAUUGUCACACACACACUAGGUGUGGUGAAAUUAUUCUCUGCAUUUGACCCAUCACCCUUGAUCACUAUGCUAGUAAACCUUUUCUUAAUUUUAAACAAGACAGACUAGAGUUCUUCAAAUUGUUUAUACUUUUUCUCAAAUACAAAUAUGUCAAGCUGAUAAGCACUGUGGAGUAGGCAUGUUACUGAUAUUGUUACAUUAGUUCUUUGUUUGAGAAGCUUCAUGUCUGCACUGAUCCUAAAUUUAACAGUUUUUGAAGGGUUUGGUUCUUUGUUUUAUUUCUGUGUCACUGACUUUUUUCAUUUUUAUGUGUGGAUUUGUUAGGCGCAUCAACACAUGAUAUAGACAUCGUGCCCAAAAGAAGAGCGAGACGUAAUCCUGAGGCUGAAGCUACCGAGUUUAUUUGAUCUGGAUGUGACAAGUCUUGUUUUAAGGCCCAGUGGAUCAAUGAUUGGAAAGACACCAACUGUUGAUGUUCUAUCUCAACAUUCUCCAGACUCAUGUGACCGAUAAACCGACUUCAUCCCUCCAACAGACACCAACUGUUGGGGUUCUAUCUCAACAUUCUCCAGAUUCAGAUGUGAGCGAUAAACCGACUUCAUCCCUCCAACAGACACCAACUGUUGGGGUUCUAUCUCAACAUUCUCCAGAUUCAGAUGUGAGCGAUAAACCGACUUCAUCCCUCCAACAGGUUAUUACAAGUCUAUUUUUACUAUAUCUGCUCUAAAUGUGACCCAACCUAUAUUUUGAAAGACAUUUAUUAAUUUUAAUCUCUCACAGAUCGUUUAUAUGACAACAUUUUCGUAAGAGUACAUCCAUGUUAGUCAGUAAGGAGUUUGGAACUCAUGUUUAGCAAAACAGGAGAUGUUACAAGUCAACAACAUACAUUCUACAUGUGACCCCUCGUCAUGUCCUUAUAUUGUUUGAACCAAGAAAGACUUAGGUGUGUUUCAUAUAAGGUCCUCAUAUUUUCUAAACCAGAUUAGUGUGUGUUACAAUGUUAAUGUCCAAGCUUUAAAAUGUGUGUCUCAAUUCAGGUCCUCAUAUUUUCUGAACCAGAUUUUAGUGUGUUUUAUAUUCUUAAUUAAUUGUCUAAGAGCUGAAACUCUGUAAUAAUCUUUACUAUUUAUCUGGCAUUGUAUGCUCAGAGUUUUAUCCACAAAAAGUGCUGAUAAUGUUAUAAUUAAUUAGUUCUGACAUUAUAUUUUUGUGUUUUGUUGCAGAAACCAACUGUUGAGGUUCCAUCUCAACAUUCUCCAGAUUCAGAUGUGAGCCAUUAACUGACUUCAUCCCUCCAACAGAAACCAACUGUUGAGGUUCUAUCUCAACAUUCUCUAGAUUCAGAUGACAGCCAUAAACCGACUUCAUCCCUCCAACAGAUUGACAGCAGGACAAAUCGCUGGAAGUAGGUAUGUCUCAAGCUUCUUCCACUUGGUCCACUCCAAAGCGGGCUGCAAAGGGGAAGAAGUGGAAGCAGUUGAAUGACACAUGUUGCAUUUUGUAACUGGCAACAAAGUACCAGGUAAAAAAGAUUGUGAAGCCUGCCUCCAUAAAGAACUAGUAGCUCUACAGGACAGAGAUUGGCUUGCCAUCAAGUACUACAUCCAUAACAGAAUUAUAUUAAAAAAAGGGGAAAAAAAUGUUUUCCCACAUCUUCUGUGGUAGUUUGAGUAUGUUACCAGCAAUUAAAAAAGCAAAAUAAA